UUACGGACAUAUCACGUUGAAACAUCGGUUCCCAAAUGAUCAACGAAGUUAAGCAACGUCGAGUCUGGUUAGUACCUAGAUGGGUGACCAUUUCAAGAUAUCAGGUGCUGAA